rnacentral:sRNA from 1 species
AAGUACUAACUGUUUUUCGGAGAAUGAAAUGGGCUAUCUGUUGAAAACCUUAGGCCUGAGUUUAAAGACCAUCUGUACAAUUGGGCCAAUAAGUAACGCAUUAUCCAUCAACAAAGUACUGAAACAUGAGACACUUAGACCAUCUCCAUCGGGGGUUUCUUGUAAGAAUUUCUCACAAUUAAAAAAAAAAAAUAAUAAAAAUGAAGGAAAAAGAGUGUAGAAAGUUUCUCACUUGAGAAACUCUGAGAUACUCUUUACAACCCAUCAUGAUAAUUCUCUUCUCAUUAUUGGUUCAACUUUUUAACAAAAAUAU